AUGGCGACGCAAGAAAAAGAAGAGGCACCCCACGCCGUCGGCCGCCGGGUCGUCUUGUUCCCGCUGCCGUUCCAGGGCCACCUCAGCCCCAUGCUCCAGCUGGCCGAGCUCCUCCGCGCCCGCGGCCUGCCCGUCACCGUCCUCCACACCGACUUCAACGCGCCUGACCCUACACGGCACCCAGAGCUUGCCUUCGUCCCGAUCCACGAGGCGCUUCCCACCUCAGCCACCUCCCCCGACGCCGACAUCGUCGCGCAGCUCCUGGCCCUCAACAGCGGUUGCGAGGCGCCCUUCCGGGAGGCCCUGGCAUCGCUGCUGCGCCGCGAGGACGUGGCCUGCGCCGUCGUCGACGGGCAGUGGUACGCGGCGCUGGGGGCGGCGAGCGCGCUCGGCGUCCCCGUGCUCGCGCUCCGCACGGACAGCGCCGCCACGUUCGGCAGCUUGCUUGCGUUCCCUCGGCUGCGCGACGCCGGCUACGUCCCAAUCAAAGUUGCAGAGGAGCGACGGGACGAGCUUGUGCCGGAGCUGGAGCCGCUCCGCGUGCGCGACCUCAUCCGCAUCGACGGCAGCGACGUGGACGCGCUGUGCGGCUUCAUCUCCCGCGUCGCCGACGCCGCGCGGGCCUCCGCGUCAGGGGUCGUGCUCAACUCGUUCGACGCCAUCGAGGCGCCGGAGCUGGCCAGGAUAGAGAAGGAGCUGUCCUGUCCGGCGUUCGCGGUCGGCCCGCUGCACAGGAUGUGCCCCGGGCCGGCACCGGCGGAGCACGGCCUGCACGCGCCAGACCGCGGCUGCCUGGCGUGGCUGGACGCGCACCCGGCGCGCUCCGUGCUGUACGUGAGCCUGGGGAGCGUCGCUCGCGUCGACCGCGGCGUGUUCGAGGAGAUGGCGUGGGGGCUGGCGGGCAGCGGCGUGCCGUUCCUGUGGGUCGUCCGGCCCGGCUCCGUUCGCGGCGGCGGCGCCGACGAACCACCCAACGGGCUCGACGAGGAAGCCAGGAGCAGGGGGAAGGUGGUGGCAUGGGCGCCGCAGCUGGAGGUCCUGGCCCACGAGGCCGUCGGCGCCUUCUGGACGCACUGCGGCUGGAACUCAACGCUGGAGAGCGUGUGCGCCGGCGUGCCGAUGCUCGCGCAGCCGUGCUUCGCGGACCAGACGGUGAACGCGAGGUACGUGACGCACCGGUGGGGCGUCGGGCUGGAGGUGGGAGACGUGAUCGACAGGGUCAGGGUCGCCGAGAGGGUGAGGAUGGUGAUGCUCGGGGAAGAAGGGGAUCGGGCGAGGGAGAAGGUGCGUGACCUCAAGCUGCAAGCAGACCAGUGUGUUGCUGCUAGUUUGGCCGUCGACAAUCUCGUGCGGUACGUGCUGUCACUCUGA
rnacentral:rRNA from 1 species